CCUGGUGGCUUAGAGGUUAAAGCAUCUGCCUCCAAUGCAGGAGACCAGGGUUCGAUCCCUGGGUCGGGA
rnacentral:tRNA from 1 species